CAUGAAGGAGCCGAAUGACAUGAAAUUUUCAUGUUCGGCCAAGCUAACGAUGCGGGUUCGAUUCCCGCUACCCGCU
rnacentral:tRNA from 1 species